rnacentral:rRNA from 1 species
AGGGAGCAUGAGAAACGGCUACCACAUCUAAGGAAGGCAGCAGGCGCGUAAAUUACCCAAUCCUGACUCAGGGAGGUAGUGACAAGAAAUAGCAAACCGGGAACCUCAUGGUUUCACGGUAUUGCAAUGAGAACAAUUUAAAACCCUUAGCGAGAAUCAAGUGGAGGACAAGUCUGGUGCCAGCACCCGCGGUAAUUCCAGCUCCACUAGCGUGUAUUAAAGUUGUUGCAGUUAAAAAGCUCGUAGUUGAACCUCUGUCUGGGGCUAGUUUUGGCUUUGGUCAGGCUAGUUCUAGGCAUCCGCCUACAAGACUUAGAGGGCAUUCAGUUGUUCACUAGGAGGAGUAGGCAUUUUACUUUGAAAAAAUUAGAGUGUUUAAGGCAGGCAAUCGCCCGCAUAUAUUAGCAUGGAAUAAUAGAAUAGGACACUUUUCCAUUUCGUUGGUUAUUGGAAUCGUGUAAUGAUUAAUAGGGACAGUUGUGGGCAUUUGUAUUUAAUUGUCAGAGGUGAAAUUCUUGGAUUUAUUAAAGACAAACUAACGCGAAAGCAUUUGCCAAGGAUGUUUUCAUUAAUCAAGAACGAAAGUUAGGGGAUCAAAGACGAUCAGAUACCGUCCUAGUCUUAACUAUAAACUAUUCCGACUCAAUGUUUGACUGGCUUAUAUAACCAGUUGAGCGUUGUAUGAGAAAUCAAAGUCUUUAGGUUCUGGGGGGAGUAUGGUUGCAAAGCUGAAACUUAAAGGAAUUGACGGAAGAGCACAACCAGGAGUGGAUUCUGCGGCUUAAUUUGACUCAACACGGGGAAACUUACCAGGUUAAAACAAUAGUGGGAUUGACAGUUUGAGAGCGCUUUCUUGAUUGGUUGGGUGGUGGUGCAUGGCCGUUCUUAGUUGGUGGAGUGAUUUGUCUGCUUAAUUGCGUUAACGAACGAGACCUUAACCUGCUUACUAGACUGGCGAUCAUCAAUCGUUAGCUCUUCUUAGAGGGACUUUGGUUGUUUUAACUCCAAGGAAGUUUGAGGCAAUAACAGGUCUGUGAUGCCCUUAGAUAUCCUGGGCCGCACGCGUCAUACAAUGACUAGUUCAGAAAGUUUUCUCCUGACCCGAAAGGGGAUGGGUAAUCUUGAUAAUACUAGUCGUGUUAGGGAUCGAUCUUUGCAAUUAUAGAUCUUGAACGAGGAAUUCCUAGUAAGUGCGGUUCAUCAGACCGUACUGAUUACGUCCCUGCUCUUUGUACACACCGCCCGUCGCUUCUACCGAGUGGGUGGUCCGGUGAGAUAAUUGAACUUCGCAGGUAACUGAGAGGAAAGAUUAUCAAACCUAUCCACCUCGAGGAAGAAGAAGUCGUAACAAGGUU